GACCGGCGGACGGGUGAGUAACACGUAUGCAACCUGCCCGUAAUCGGGGGAUAACCCGGAGAAAUUCGGACUAAAACUCCAUGAAUCUGAGAUAUCGCAUGAUAAAACAGAAAAACGCAAGGAUUACGGAUGGGCAUGCGGAUGAUUAGCUAGUUGGAGGGGUAACGGCCCGCCAAGGCGACGAUCAUUAGGGGUUCUGAGAGGAAGGUCCCCCACAUUGGAACUGAGAGACGGUCCAAACUCCUACGGGAGGCAGCAGUG
rnacentral:rRNA from 1 species